CCAUGCCGCGUGCAGGAAGACGGCCCUAUGGGUUGUAAACUGCUUUUAUACAGGAAGAAACCCUUGGACGAGUCUGGGGCUGACGGUACUGUAAGAAUAAGCACCGGCUAACUCCGUGCCAGCAGCCGCGGUAAUACGGAGGGUGCAAGCGUUAUCCGGAAUCAUUGGGUUUAAAGGGUCCGUAGGCGGAUUGAUAAGUCAGAGGUGAAAUCCCACAGCUUAACUGUGGAACUGCCUUUGAUACUGUUAGUCUUGAGUUAUGUGGAAGUAGAUAGAAUGUGUAGUGUAGCGGUGAAAUGCAUAGAGAUUACACAGAAGAGCGAACAGGAUUAGAUACCCUGGUAGUCCACGCCGUAAACGAUGGACACUAGUUGUUGGAUUUUUUCAGUGACUAAGCGAAAGC
rnacentral:rRNA from 1 species